rnacentral:rRNA from 1 species
UGGGGAAUUUUGGACAAUGGGCGAAAGCCUGAUCCAGCCAUGCCGCGUGAGUGAAGAAGGCCUUCGGGUUGUAAAGCUCUUUUAGUCGGAAAGAAAGAGUUGCAAUGAAUAAUUGUGAUUUAUGACGGUACCGACAGAAAAAGCACCGGCUAACUACGUGCCAGCAGCCGCGGUAAUACGUAGGGUGCGAGCGUUAAUCGGAAUUACUGGGCGUAAAGGGUGCGCAGGCGGUCUUGCAAGUAAGAUGUGAAAGCCACGGGCUUAACCUGGGAAUUGCGUUUGAAACUACAAGACUAGAGUGCAGCAGAGGGGAGUGGAAUUCCAUGUGUAGCAGUGAAAUGCGUAGAGAUGUGGAAGAACACCGAUGGCGAAGGCAGCUCCCUGGGUUGACACUGACGCUCAUGCACGAAAGCGUGGGGAGCAAACA